UGGGGAAUAUUGCGCAAUGGGCGAAAGCCUGACGCAGCGACGCCGCGUGAGGGACGACGGCCUUCGGGUUGUAAACCUCUUUCAGCUCUGACGAAGCGAAAGUGACGGUAGGAGCAGAAGAAGCACCGGCCAACUACGUGCCAGCAGCCGCGGUAAUACGUAGGGUGCAAGCGUUGUCCGGAAUUAUUGGGCGUAAAGAGCUCGUAGGCGGUCUGUCGCGUCGAAUGUGAAAACCCGGGACUCAACUCCGGGCCUGCAUUCGAUACGGGCAGACUAGAGUUCGGUAGGGGAGACUGGAAUUCCUGGUGUAGCGGUGAAAUGCGCAGAUAUCAGGAGGAACACCGGUGGCGAAGGCGGGUCUCUGGGCCGAUACUGACGCUGAGGAGCGAAAGCGUGGGGAGCAAACA
rnacentral:rRNA from 1 species